UAAACCGGGCUGAUGAAAUAUCUGUCAGGUGUUUGAUAUGGUCUUCUGGAGUGAUCGGAACUCGAGCAUUUGGGUUGAGACGGGCCACUGAUUCACGGUGUAUCAGCUUCAUCGCCAUUCGGUUAGGUUUAAUGGAUUCUGUUACUACAAAGUAUGAUACAGUGAUGAAGAGUAAGAGUGAAGUUUGGAAAGAACAUUCCAUUGUUGUUGAAACGGUACAGAAACAUGGACUUGGGGGAUUACAGAGACCAUUUUGUAACCUCAA